rnacentral:rRNA from 1 species
AUACGGAGGACGCGAGCGUUAUCCGGAUUCAUUGGGUUUAAAGGGUGCGCAGGCGGCCGUGCAAGUCAGCGGUGAAAGCCCGGGGCUCAACCCCGGAAGUGCCGUUGAUACUGCAUGGCUGGAAUGCGGUCGAGGCGGGCGGGACGUGGCGUGUAGCGGGGAAAUGCGUAGAUAUGCCACAGAACGCCGAUAGCGGAGGCAGCUCGCCAGGCCUGCAUUGACGCUCGGGCACGAAAGCGUGGGGAUCGAACAGGAUUAGAUCCCCUGGUAGUCCACGCCGUAAACGAUGGGCGCUCGUCGUCGGCGGCAGACAGUCGGCGGCCAAGCGAAAGCGAUAAGCGCCCCACCUGGGGAGUACGGUCGCAAGGCUGAAACUCAAAGGAAUUGGCGGGG